CAGUUUCUAUUUGCUGAGGGCAGAUAAAGUGAAUAUGUGAGUCAAUACCUCCGGCGGUGGCUAUCAAGCCCUCUCCCGCUAUGACCUCGGUAGCCGCCCCAAUUACCAGGCCGGGAGUCACUCCCUCCAUGAUAUCAGGAUUGCCGGAUUUCCCUAUUCCCACUAUUUUUCCGUCCUUAAUACCUAUAUCCCCCUUGACUAUACCCCAGGAAUCUAUUAUUACCACAUUUGUAACAAGCAUAUCCAGGGCCCCGGUUUUCACAGAUGCCGAAGAGCUCUGUCCCAUUCCGUCCCUUA
rnacentral:sRNA from 1 species